rnacentral:lncRNA from 1 species
AUUAAAUGAGACAAGCGUGCAAUGUUCUUAGUGCUGUGGCGGGGGUACAGUCAGCACUCAGUGAUUCCAGCCGACUGGAACUGACUGUAAUCCAGCCUUGCUGCUUGGCCACUUGCUCUGCUUUCAGACAGGGUGAUCUGUGGGUUCUGAGGCUUGUGGGCUACACUAGAUGGGCUGCUUCCAUGCCAGACUAAUACAGUUCCCGAAACAUCCAGGUUACCUCCUGGGGUGUAGACUCCCCAUCUGCCCCAGUGAGCUGUGCCCAGGCCCCUCUUCUUGCCCCUCUUACCUGAAUUGGCUGUUGGAGCUUCCAGGCUUGGGAAGCUCAAGCCAGGCUGGGUUGGUGGUGUAGCCAUAGGA